GGGCGGUACUGUGCGUGGGUGCUGGGGGAAUGACGGAGACAGCUCAGCGGUGGCCGUCCCCGGAGCCGGCCCUGGGAGUCUGCUGUGGUUCCAGGCAGCGCAGGGGUUGCUUGGGCUUGGAGUCCGUGGUCUAGAGCCCUCCGCUGGCCGCGCUGUCCCUAAAGCUCCAAGCUGGGCAUCCGCUUUGGGCCAGCAGAGAGGGUGGAGCUCCUGGCUCUGCCAUGCAUCUGGCUGGCCCGGCUACGGUGUUUAGUGUCCCGAGUUCCGUGUUUUCAUCUGUGACAACAUCUACCCCUGAGGAACGUGUGGAGGUCGAUCACGGCGUUUUUCACGGUGACGGUGGCUGAUGGGCGCGGGUAGGACCUGCACUGUUUUCCUCACGUCCUCCUGGGAACCGGCACAGACCUGCUGGCCACGUGGGAACGACUCAGGCAGUGCGUGCGUUUUGGUUGAAUAAUUAACCACAUAUGAGUACUUGCCUCUGAAGAAGCCGAGAGAUCCUUCAAACCAAGACGAGAACAAAACUAGGAGGAAACAUGAGCCCGUUUCCCCACCGUGUUCUCCCUCUGGGCUGCGCCCCCCUUCUGAGCCGAGCUGCAGUUUUAAUGAAUCACGUGAUUUGCAGAAGGAAAGGGAGUGUGAGCGAGUGUACAAGAAAAGGCACAGGCACAACAGAGGCAGUAAGAUAAGCAGAGGCACAGAGAGCCCCAGGAUCAGGAGGCUGGGACGCCCUGCCCAGUACCCUGUGGCCACAGUGACGUCCUAGCACAAGGCCUCACCCGCUGGACUGUGUGCGGCUGCGUGAGCUAACCUGCAGCUCUGCCACACAUCAAAAGGUGUGCACAGCCCAAAUACUGCUGUGGUUCCGGUCUUAAAUCAAGAACCGCAUACAGUGGCAUCUUGUGCACACAAGGAGGCCUGUCACGGUGGACAGGGCUGGGGUGGCUGGGAGGUAGGGUGGCCAGGUGACAGCGUCCAGGGCCCGAUGGCUUCGGGAAGAGGCAUGAUCAGUGAACUUAGCAGAAACUGACAGCUGAUGGCCUUGACCUUGACCGAGUCCCCCUUGGUCUCUGGACUCGGUGUCUUCCUCAUUAACCCAGAGGGAUUAGAGUGGAGGGCUGCUGAGAUUCCUCUGGAUCCUGUAAUGGGGACUGUCACUAUGCCACUGGUGGCUCCUGCAUCUCAGAUCAGAACGACACCCGCCCCCCCAGGCCACAAGGGACCACUGGGCACAUCCAGGACACAGCUGGCCUCCAGACAGCCCAUCACACAAACUGCUCCCGAGAAAGCCGUCUCCAAUUACACGGCACGUCAAGAGACUGUGGUAACUCUCUGGCCUUGGCUGGAGAUGAGCUCCUCUGUCCAGAUUAACACGGAGCUCGAAGCUCAUGGUGACCAGAGGCGGCUGUUGGAAUACUGAGUGGCAACUGCCUUGGAAGCACAGUGGGAGGGUCCUUGUGACCCCUUUCUGUGCAUAACUCUUACAUGGCAAGAUCUGAAAUAGAUUUCUUUCUUUCCUAUUGGGAGCUGUUGAAGGACUCGGGGGCUUUGAGGCCUGGGUGGUUAAACUUGAGGAUUCGUCCAACCUUCCUGCAGCCCCUUGUCAUUUUCAUAACUUUUGCUUUCAUCUACAUGACCCGAUGGCCAGUUAAAUGACAGGGGGUGUCCUUAAAGACCAGUGUCUCCUGGGAUCCGUGGAGGAGAAGCACCAGGUACGACUACCUAGAGUCAGGAGAACCGAGGUCCCUCGAGGACAGCUGGGUGACAUGGUCUUGUACCUAGGGGGGCUUGCUGGGGUCUGGGGUCCGAGACUGCUUGGCUUGGAGUCCAGGCAAUCAAGUCAGACUUGAAAAAGUUCAACAGGAACAAGCCGCUCAGCAAACCACGGGGCAGCUAUUGCCUUGAAUCCUUUCCUGGAGCCUGGUGGGACCUGGAGACAGAUCAAGGGAGGCAGACCAGAGAGGGCCCAGGGCUGGGGCCAGGGAGCGGAGCCUCAGGGUGAGAUUGGGUGGGGCCUCCUGGACCUGGCAGCCCUGGUGCGGAGGAGAGAAGAGGGUGUUCCAGGCAGGGGCCCCUGGACAAAG